rnacentral:pre_miRNA from 1 species
UUAGCUCUUCAUACCUUGGUAGAACUGUAGAAGUAUACUGAUCGAUCGUAUUGGGUAAGGAUCGGGUAAUCUGCAUCCUGAGGUUUAGAUCAGCUUUGUUUUGUUGUUUCUAGCCCUCGGGGUGCAGAUUACCUCGUCCUCACUGCCAAUGCAAGACUUGUUAGCUAGUACUAAUAUAUCAAACCAAUGAAGCUAA